rnacentral:rRNA from 1 species
AUUGAACGCUGGCGGCAGGCCUAACACAUGCAAGUCGAACGAGUGGCGGACGGGUGAGUAAUGUCUGGGAAACUGCCCGAUGGAGGGGGAUAACUACUGGAAACAGUAGCUAAUACCGCAUACCAUCGGAUGUGCCCAGAUGGGAUUAGCUAGUAGGUGGGGUAACGGCUCACCUAGGCGACGAUCCCUAGCUGGUCUGAGAGGAUGACCAGCCAGUCUGGAACUUAGACACGGGCCAGACUCCUCCGGGAGGCAGCAGUGGGGAAUAUUGCACAAGGGGCGCAAGCCUGAUGCAGCCUGGCCGCGUGUAUGAAGAAGGCCUUCGGGUGUGAAAGUACUUUCAGCGAUGAGGCGUUACUCGCAGAAGAAGCACCGGCUAACUCCGGGCCAGCAGCCGCUGUAAUAC